rnacentral:rRNA from 1 species
GACGAACGCUGGCGGCGUGCUUAACACAUGUAAGUCGAACGGAAAGGCCCUGCUUUUGUGGGGUGCUCGAGUGGCGAACGGGUGAGUAACACGUGAGUAUCCUGCCCUUGACUUUGGGAUAACUUCAGGAAACUGGGGCUAAUACCGGAUAGGAGCUCCCGCUGCAUGGUGGGGGUCGGAAAGUUUCGGCGGUUGGGGAUGGACUCGCGGCUUAUCAGCUUGUUGGUGGGGUAGUGGCUUACCAAGGCUUUGACGGGUAGCCGGCCUGGGAGGGUGGCCGGCCGCAUUGGGACCGAGAUACGGCCCAGACUCCUACGGAAGGCAACUAUGGGGAAUAGUACGGAAUGAAGGGAGGCCUGUUGCGACAACGCCACGUGCGGGAUGAGGACCCUCGGGUUGUAAACCGCUUUCGCCUUUUGCGGAGCGUGAGUGGCGGUAAUGGGUAAGAAAGCACCGGCUAACUACGUG